GAUGAGCGCUGGCGGCGUGCCUAAUACAUGCAAGUCGAGCGAACAGACGAGGAGCUUGCUCCGCUGACGUUAGCGGCGGGCGGGUGAGUAACACGUGGAUAACCCACUUAUAAGACUGGGAAAACUUCGGGAAACCGGAGAAAAUCCCGGAGAAUAUAUUGAACCAUAUGGUUGAAUAGUGAAAGACGGUGUUGGUGGCACGACUAGAGGGAUCCGCGCCGCAUUAGGUAGUUGGUAAGGUAACGGCUUACCAAGGCAACGAUGCGUAGCCGACCUGAGAGGGUGAUCGGCCACCCUGGAACUGAGACGCGGUCCAGACUCCUACGGGAGGCAGCAGUAUGGAAUCUUCCGCAAUGGUCGAAAGCUUUACGGAGCAACGCCGCGUGAGUGAUGAAGGUCUUCGGAUCGUAAAACUCUGUUAUUAGGGAAGAACAAAUGUGUAAGUAACUAUGCACGUCUUGACGGUACCUAAUCAGAAAGCCACGGCUAACUACGUG
rnacentral:rRNA from 1 species